CAAGUAACUUAGCAUUAGCAUGGAAUCAGCAUAACUAAAGCAAGAAAUGCAAUAAAAUGACAUCAACAUUGACUAAAGACAGGUGGUUCACACCAUGGGGAUCUUCGACGUUGAAAAGCUAUGGAAACUGCACGUGAGAUAGCAAUCUAGAGCAAAUUACUGUGAAGGGGAGAAUGGAGAGACGGUUGAAGAGUUGAAGCGUUUCUUUUGGAUUUUAAAGUCUACCCACCUUUAUCUACUGGAAUCCCGGAGCAUAUGAAAAUCAAUCAAUCAACUAUGCUUCAAUUCGAAAUAAGUUCGGUCAACUAUAUAACCUCUGUAUCCAUGUUUCCCUAUUCGGGGCUUAAUGCAUUUGAAUGCUGCUA